CAUGCAAGUCGAGCGGACAGAUGGGAGCUUGCUCCCUGAUGUUAGCGGCGGACGGGUGAGUAACACGUGGGUAACCUGCCUGUAAGACUGGGAUAACUCCGGGAAACCGGGGCUAAUACCGGAUGGUUGUUUGAACCGCAUGGUUCAAACAUAAAAGGUGGCUUCGGCUACCACUUACAGAUGGACCCGCGGCGCAUUAGCUAGUUGGUGAGGUAACGGCUCACCAAGGCAACGAUGCGUAGCCGACCUGAGAGGGUGAUCGGCCACACUGGGACUGAGACACGGCCCAGACUCCUACGGGAGGCAGCAGUAGGGAAUCUUCCGCAAUGGACGAAAGUCUGACGGAGCAACGCCGCGUGAGUGAUGAAGGUUUUCGGAUCGUAAAGCUCUGUUGUUAGGGAAGAACAAGUACCGUUCGAAUAGGGCGGUACCUUGACGGUACCUAACCAGAAAGCCACGGCUAACUACGUGCCAGCAGCCGCGGUAAUACGUAGGUGGCAAGCGUUGUCCGGAAUUAUUGGGCGUAAAGGGCUCGCAGGCGGUUUCUUAAGUCUGAUGUGAAAGCCCCCGGCUCAACCGGGGAGGGUCAUUGGAAACUGGGGAACUUGAGUGCAGAAGAGGAGAGUGGAAUUCCACGUGUAGCGGUGAAAUGCGUAGAGAUGUGGAGGAACACCAGUGGCGAAGGCGACUCUCUGGUCUGUAACUGACGCUGAGGAGCGAAAGCGUGGGGAGCGAACAGGAUUAGAUACCCUGGUAGUCCACGCCGUAAACGAUGAGUGCUA
rnacentral:rRNA from 1 species